rnacentral:misc_RNA from 1 species
UUAUUUAAACUCUAACCAUAGGAUGCAUUAUAUAAAUACAAAUUUCGCAGCCAUUUUAUGCUAAUUAUAGCUUGGUUAACACCGUUAUUUUGUAGGGUUAUUUUGUUUUAUAUUUAGCCUAAUUGUUAAAAAAUGAAUUCACUCAUUACAAUUUAUUAAUUGAGCAAUACAAUUGCAGUCAAAUACUUGAAUAUAUUCAACGCUAGCGUUAGUAUUCCUUCCAUAAUUAAAUCAAUAAUGAGCAAUAGAUAGCUUUUAGCUAUCAAUAAAUAAGGAAAUACCU